AGCGAACGCUAGCGGCGGGCUUAACACAUGCAAGUCGAGCGGAGGGGCAACCCUUAGCGGCGGACGGGUGAGUAACACGUAGGUCACGUAUCCUCUGGUGGGGAAUAACCGUGGGAAACCAUGGCUAAUACCGCAUAUCGUAUGAAAGUAUGAAAGCCUUCGGGCGCCAGUUGAGCGGCCUGCGGCCCAUUAGUUAGUUGGCGGGGUAACGGCCCACCAAGACGAUGAUGGGUAGCUGGUCUGAGAGGAUGAUCAGCCACACUGGAACUGAGACACGGUCCAGACUCCUACGGGAGGCAGCAGUGGGGAAUAUUGCGCAAUGGGCGAAAGCCUGACGCAGCCACGCCGCGUGAGUGAUGAAGGCC
rnacentral:rRNA from 1 species